GACGAACGCUGGCGGCGUGCUUAACACAUGCAAGUCGAACGGAAAGGCUCCAGCUUGCUGGCGUGCUCGAGUGGCGAACGGGUGAGUAACACGUGGGCAAUCUGCCCUGCACUCUGGGAUAAGCCUGGGAAACUGGGUCUAAUACCGGAUAGGACCUUUCUCCUCAUGGGGUUUGGUGGAAAGUUUUUCGGUGCAGGAUGAGCCCGCGGCCUAUCAGCUUGUUGGUGGGGUAAUGGCCUACCAAGGCGACGACGGGUAGCCGGCCUGAGAGGGUGAUCGGCCACAUUGGGACUGAGAUACGGCCCAGACUCCUACGGGAGGCAGCAGUGGGGAAUAUUGCACAAUGGGCGAAAGCCUGAUGCAGCGACGCCGCGUGAGGGAUGACGGCCUUCGGGUUGUAAACCUCUUUCGGUAGGGACGAAGCGCAAGUGACGGUACCUGCAGAAGAAGCACCGGCUAACUACGUG
rnacentral:rRNA from 1 species